rnacentral:lncRNA from 1 species
GAUCUAUACACGUGAACACUGAGCUUUCCUUAAUAAACAUCUUCUGUUCCCACAGUCCAGGGGCUCUUUCUUCCAGCAAAUCCAGGACUGACUUAUUGUGGAGACGACUGCCAGGUGACAACGCUGGGACACCUUCAGAGGAGGGGGUCGGUGGUGACUCCAAACCUCACCAGGGAUCCCGGCUUGCCACGGCCUCCACAUCCAGUGACAACAGAAAAGGACGCGCACAGAAAGGAGUGGUCAGCGUUUUGCUGACUGCCCUUCCUUCUUCAAGCCCAUUAGAGAAGUCCAACCGCAGAGACAAAAGAGAAAAUUCUGUAACCACUGGCCUCGGUCCAGGAAUACAGAAGAAAAUGAAGCAAGGCAAGCAACAGAGAAAAGUGAACAGAAGAACAAGCUGAAAUGAAGCUGCUUGAUGAUCGUAUAGUG